rnacentral:rRNA from 1 species
AAGAAAGCUUGCUUUCUUUGCUGGCGACCGGCGCACGGGUGAGUAACACGUAUCCAACCUACCCUUUACUCGGGGAUAGCCUUUCGAAAGAAAGAUUAAUACCCGAUAGCAUAAUGAUUCCGCAUGGUUUCAUUAUUAAAGGAUUCCGGUAAAGGAUGGGGAUGCGUUCCAUUAGGUUGUUGGUGGGGUAACGGCCCACCAAGCCUUCGAUGGAUAGGGGUUCUGAGAGGAAGGUCCCCCACAUUGGAACUGAGACACGGUCCAAACUCCUACGGGAGGCGCAUG